GGGAAUAUAGCGCAGUCGGUAGCGCGUUAGCCUCAUAAUCUAAAGGUCGUGAGUUCGAGUCUCACUAUUCCCA